rnacentral:tRNA from 1 species
AUCUAAAUAGUUUAUUUAGAAUAAUAAUUUGUGGUAUUAUAGGUAUAUUUUAUAUUUUAGAUC